rnacentral:rRNA from 1 species
UGAAGCCUUUCGGGGUGGAUUAGUGGCGAACGGGUGAGUAACACGUGGGCAAUCUGCCCUUCACUCUGGGACAAGCCCUGGAAACGGGGUCUAAUACCGGAUAACACUCUGUCCCGCAUGGGACGGGGUUAAAAGCUCCGGCGGUGAAGGAUGAGCCCGCGGCCUAUCAGCUUGUUGGUGGGGUGAUGGCCUACCAAGGCGACGACGGGUAGCCGGCCUGAGAGGGCGACCGGCCACACUGGGACUGAGACACGGCCCAGACUCCUACGGGAGGCAGCAGUGGGGAAUAUUGCACAAUGGGCGAAAGCCUGAUGCAGCGACGCCGCGUGAGGGAUGACGGCCUUCGGGUUGUAAACCUCUUUCAGCAGGGAAGAAGCGAAAGUGACGGUACCUGCAGAAGAAGCGCCGGCUAACUACGUGCCAGCAGCCGCGGUAAUACGUAGGGCGCAAGCGUUGUCCGGAAUUAUUGGGCGUAAAGAGCUCGUAGGCGGCUUGUCACGUCGGAUGUGAAAGCCCGGGGCUUAACCCCGGGUCUGCAUUCGAUACGGGCUAGCUAGAGUGUGGUAGGGGAGAUCGGAAUUCCUGGUGUAGCGGUGAAAUGCGCAGAUAUCAGGAGGAA